rnacentral:SRP_RNA from 1 species
GCCGGGUGUGGUGGUGUGUGCCUGUGGUCUCAGCUACUUGGGAGGCUGAGGAGGGAGGAUCACUUGAGCCCAGGAGGCCGGGACUGCAGUGAGCUAUGAUUGUGCCACUGUACUCCAGCCUGGGUGACAGAGUGAGACCCUGCCUCAA